GGGAAUUUCAUUUUCCUUAUCUUUCUCUGAAAAGUUAUUUUAUGUUAUUUGCAGUAGCGUUUUGUGAGACCUAGACCUUCGUUAUAUUACCAGUUUGAAGAACAGAAAAAGUGAGAUUCUUUCUUGAAUGCUGACGUGAACAAGCACAGGACAGAGACAGGACCUGAGAAGCUCCCUGAAGGGAAGCCACUGAGCCCUUCUCACUGGUGACCAGUGUGGCUUCUGUGGCACCUUCUCCUGAGGAAGAGGAGGAUGUUGCGCUUUCCCUUCUCUCCUGUGGCUGUGACUCCCAGACUUUUUCCUCAGUCUGUGGCCAGGUGGCUCGGUCCAGCGAUGCAGAGAUCACGGUGCAACGUAACACAAAGUGAUACCUGGCUGCCCAGUUAUCCCGCUCUCCGGUAUCUGCGCUGACUUGGAGCCUCGCAGCUUCAGGCCUGUCAGCCAACAGGAGCUCGUCUAUGCAAAUGUGCUACAAGAAAAUGAGGUCUAUAAAUAAUAGACACCUUGGGCCUGCACGUCACUACAAGGACUCUCCCCCCUCACGUCUACCAGUCAGUUCCAGCAGACUUGGUCCCUCUGGAUGGGCACGAGGAGGCUCCUGCUCCACAUCCCAGCCAAGUGAGCUUGUGGGCUCCUCUCCGACAGGUAAGAGCCUGGGUCCCUUGCUGGGGUCCCUGGGCACCGCACUCACCCAGAGACCCUCAGCCUCUCCAGGGCCUCGGGGCAAUGCAGAUGCCCAACAAUGGCUGGGAACGUUUGCACCCCCCAUGGCUGAGGGACAGGAGUCCUCCAGAGCAAAAACAGGACAACCUGUGCAGCACCAGGCUGAUGUUACCCUCUCCGAGAGAGAGGGAGGAAAGAGCAACACCACACGCAGCACAGCCACAUAUUUCACUUUCAAGUAA
rnacentral:lncRNA from 1 species